UUCCUAUUCUCAAACACCCUAGAUUCAACUAGAAAAUCAGUAGCAAAUCAAAUUCAUUACAAGUUGCAAAAAAGGACUUGGUGUUUCAUCCUCCAACAACCAACAAACUCCUCGCGGAUUAACAAGUGGAAGCUAGCAAAACCGUUGAUGGUGAUGAUCGUAUGAUAUCUGGUAGGGAUGACUAGAAACACGCUUAAGAAAUUACUAGAUUUGAAUAUUUAUGUUAUGUUGAACUCGUUGUACUUGUCUUUUAUUUGUCGUAAUUUGAAUUCCAUGUAUUGUAAUGACAAUUUGAGUUAU